ACUUUACGAUAAUAGAAGAUCAACUGGAUAAACCUGAGAAUCCGAAUACACCGGAUAUUCCAAAGUCUCCGAAGUUGCCAAAAUUUCUAGAAAAACCAGAAUAACCUGAGAACCCUAAAUAACCAGGAUUUCCAAAAGGUCCUAAUGAUCCUAAUUCAGGAAGUAAAAAGGUGUCAAAAACAUAUGAAUUUGUAAUUCACCAAUAGCUUGACGAAAAGCUCAAAGACUUCGCCACUAAAGCCGAUUGAAGCGCGUUGAAGGUAAAGUUGAUGUUGUGUUUGAACUGCAAAAAACGUAGGGUGAACAGAUCAAGGUUCAAGGUGAGCAAAUUAAACAAUUAACCGAAACUGUUCAAACUCAAGGGGAACAAAUUAAAGAACUUCAAGCGGAGCAAAAAGUUCAAGGAGAAACUCUACAGUUAAUCUUGCAAAUGUUGCAAAAGAUGAGCAAUCGCUUGGAUUCAAUGGAUGUU
rnacentral:sRNA from 1 species